CGAAAUUAAGUGAGCUACUUCAAAAUAGUUUUUGAACUAACCCGUCUCUGUUGCAAAAGAGUGGGACAAUUUUUAAGUAGAGGUGAUAAACCUAUCGAACUUACAGAUAGCUGGUUUUUUAAGAAAAGAAUUUCAGUUCAGCCCUAAGCUUUUUAUUAAGCAAAAACCUACUUUAAGCUUAGGAGUUAUUCAAAUAAGGCACAGCUUAUUUGAAACAGGAUACAACCUAGAACACAGGGUAAGAUAUACUAAAUUUUAGCAAGUAGGCCUAAAAACAGCCACCUUUUAAAAAGCGUCAAAGCUUAAUACUAAAAGCUUAUUCAAUGUCCUCAAUAACCUCUAACCCUUAACCCCUAUUAAACAACUCCAUAAUACUAUGGAAGCUAUAAUGCUAGAACAAGUAACAAGAAAAAGACUUUCUCCAAAAUGUAAGCUUAAGCCAGAAUAGACUAACCACUGGCAAUUAACGUUUAUAAAUUAACUACAGCAACGACAACAAGAAAACCCUGUAUUUUUUACCGUUAACCUCACACUAGUACAC
rnacentral:rRNA from 1 species